AGAGCCAUUUGCAAAACUACUGUGCAAUUGGAAAGAAAAGAACAGCAUGGCCUCCUCGCCUCUCCCUAAGAACCCUACAGAGAAACAUGGGCUCCCUGCUCUGACAGCUCCCAGGGGGAUAAAGACACUGAAGGCCGGCUCAGAGAUAAAAGGUCAGCCACUGUGUGAACGUGACUCCACAUGCAACCUGAAUCCUGCUGGAAACGGACAUGGUCCCCGUGUGAAGACAGGCUACGUCCAUCUAUCAGAUGCUAGGACAAGAACCCCACGACUUGCCGACCAGCAGCUCCUGGGAGGUCGGGAUCGUCAACAGUCACCAGCUCCCAGGCGUCACGUGGAGCAAUCACAGAGGACCGAGGCCUAGAGCCAGGACCUGAUGUCCCCUGAAAGGACCUGUGGGGCUGGGAGAACUGAGUGACUCGGAACUUCCUCCAG
rnacentral:lncRNA from 1 species